GUGGCGCAGUUUGGUAGCGCAUCUGCUUUGGGAGCAGAGGGUCGCUGGUUCGAAUCCAGUCACCCCGACCA
rnacentral:tRNA from 1 species